rnacentral:misc_RNA from 1 species
GCGCGAUUGAAUUUCCCAAAUCUAAAGGAUCCCAGCAAGUUAGGAUUCACAGAUUGCAAUAGAAUGGAUGCUUUGAAGAGUUCAGUGGACGCCAAGAUUCAUGCUAUUUGCCAAAAGGUGAAAAGAGAGAGGUCCAAAAAGAGCACAGCGAAGAAGAGUAACCUUGAUUCUAAUGAUUUUGAGGGUGGUGAUAAAGUGGUGAAGGUAAACUCAAAUUCGUCAUCGGCAACCUCAUCAUCUUUGUCACCUAUUGUUUUUGGUGACAACUGGGGUGGUGAAUUGCUCUCACCAACAGUAUCUGAAGAUGGGUUAUGGAAAUGUGAAAAUUCUUCCCCAUCUGUUUCUACAGAUUAUCCAAUGAUGAUGCCAGAGAACAAUGAUUUUGAUGGCUGCUCGCUCGCAAGAAUGCCU